rnacentral:rRNA from 1 species
GCCAGCCGCCGCGGUAACACCGGCGGCCCGAGUGGUGAUCGUGAUUAUUGGGUCUAAAGGGUCCGUAGCCGGUUUGGUCAGUCCUCCGGGAAAUCUGAUAGCUCAACUAUUAGGCUUUCGGGGGAUACUGCCAGACUUGGAACCGGGAGAGGUAAGAGGUACUACAGGGGUAGGAGUGAAAUCUUGUAAUCCCUGUGGGACCACCUGUGGCGAAGGCGUCUUACCAGAACGGGUUCGACGGUGAGGGACGAAAGCUGGGGGCACGAACCGGAUUAGAUACCCGGGUAGUCCCAGCCGUAAACGAUGCUCGCUAGGUGUCAGGCAUGGCGCGACCGUGUCUGGUGCCGCAGGGAAGCCGUGAAGCGAGCCACCUGGGAAGUACGGCCGCAAGGCUGAAACUUAAAGGAAUUGGCGGGGGAGCACAACAACGGGUGGAGCCCUGCGGUUUAAUUGGACUCAACGCCGGACAACUCACCGGGGGCGACAGCAAUAUGUAGGCCAAGCUGAAGACUUUGCCUGAAUCGCUGAGAAGAGGUGCAUGG